rnacentral:tmRNA from 1 species
GGGGCUAUUUGGUUUUGACAGCAGGUAGAAUGGGUAUGUAAGCACGCCGAGCACUGCAGAGACGCUCGUAAAUAUCGUCUGCAAAAUAUAACUGGCAACAAUACUGUAGCUCUCGCUGCCUAACCGAAGUAUAGUAGGUUACUUUAUUCGGGCACAAGGUGCCUGAACGAGACAUCGCUCCAAGCCGCGUCUGUAGGCUGAUAGGGUAUAGCGGUGCGGAAAUAUACAGAAUAGUCUUUGCGGGCUGCGACGCGGGGGCGAAACUCAAAGCAGAUAAGCCUGUGGUUGGUGGCUUGGGUCUUGCCGCAGGACGAAAAUGAAGGCCAAGAUAAGCGUGUAGAAAGCAUAUACGUUCCUUGUUUGGACACGGGUUCGAAUCCCGUUAGCUCCAC